AAUGAAAAGGGUAGGACUGGAAAUAUGAGAGAAUAAACUAUGGAGAAGAAGAAUCUUCAUUCUUGAGAGUUGAGAGGUAAAAGUUUAAAGCUUUAAGCAUACUGCACCUGCUUCCUCCUUUAACACGCCGAAUUCAUCUUCCAGUCUCAGGCACACAACACAUCCAAACCCUAAACCCAACCCGCAAAAUUCUAGGGUCUGUGUUUGCGGUUCCAUAAUGUCUCAGAACGGGAAGCUCAUGCCGAAUCUCGACCAGCACAGCACCAAGCUCCUUAACCUUACUGAUCUUCAGCGCAUCCACCCCUUCGUCGAGGAAAUCCUCAUCACCGCCGCAUACGUCACCUUCUACGAGUUCAACAUCGACCUAUCCCAAUGGAGCCGCAAGGCGGUCGAGGUAUCCCUCUUCGUUGUCAAAAAGUCUACUUUUUGUUCCUUUUCCUUCAUCAUAUCGCAACAAUUCAUGAAUUCCACGAUCCGAUUGCUUUUUGUUUGAUUUUUUCAAGAACACGCAACCGCGAUUUCAGUUUAUUGUGAUAAACCCUCGCAAUACUGGUUUUCUCAUUUUUGGAUCCUCCCAAUCUAUGCAAAGCUGCGCCAGUGUUUGUACGUAGUGGAGCCCCCGAUGAGCAUAAUCACGGGGGUGCAAGAUACAAGCUAUUGUUCGGAAGACUAUGAUUUACAAGUUCAAACAACUUCUCUCCGAGGGUCGAGUAUAUGUAAUGAAGCUCUUCUCUGUUGUGCCAAACCAAGGAUCUUAUAGGGCCACUAAGCAUCAGUUUAAGUUGAUUUUCCAGUUCAGGACCACUGUUAGGGAUGCUAUCUGCGAUUUUAUUCCAAAAUCUGCUCUUACAAUCUCUCCAUUCACUGAACUUUUGGAAACCAAAGAGGAUUCCGAUUUCUUAGUUGAUGUGGUGGGUCUGUUGGUCUCUGUCGGAAGAGAAAGAAUAUGAUAAAGAUGGAAAGAAGAUGAAGAUGGCUGUGAUGGAACUUGCUGAAAAUGAUCACAGGAUUCGGUGUGCCUUAUUUGGUGAAUAUGUUGACGAACUUAAUCGAUUUCUGUCUUCUGGGUAUGCUGAACAGCCAGUUGUGGUUUUACAGCUUGCCAAAGUUAAGGUUUUUAGAGGUAGAGUUGGACUUCAGAAUGUUAUGUUUGCAUCGAAGCUAGGAUUUAAUCUUGACAUCCCAGAGGUGGUAGCUUUUCGGAAAAGUUCUAUUCCUCAUGGAGUUAGUGCAUCCCAACCCAUUGGCAUUGUUGGAUCUGGAAAAAAUAUCGGAAUAGAAGAAGAUUUUAUGAAGCUCACACCUAUGUGUACUGUGAAGUCGCUUGAUGAUAACAACCGGGCUGGAACCUUUGUUGUACUAGUGAAGAUAGCUGAAAUAGUUGA